AUUGAACGCUGGCGGCAGGCCUAACACAUGCAAGUCGAGCGAGCGGCGGACGGGUGAGUAAUGUCUGGGUAACUGCCUGAUGGAGGGGGAUAACUACUGGAAACGGUAGCUAAUACCGCAUACUAUCAGAUGUGCCCAGAUGGGAUUAGCUAGUAGGUGAGGUAAUGGCUUACCUAUGCUACGAUCCCUAGCUGGUCUGAGAGGAUGAUGAGCAACACGGGGACUGAGACACGGCGCAGACUCCUACGGGAGGCAGCAGUGGGGAAUAUUGGGCAAUGGACGAAAGUCUGACGGAGCAAUGCCGCGUGAGUGAAGAAGGUCUUCGGAUCGUAAAGCACUUUCGGCGGAGAGGCGGUACCUAAAGAGGAAGCAACGGCUAACUCCGUGCCAGCAGCCGCGGUAAUAC
rnacentral:rRNA from 1 species